rnacentral:rRNA from 1 species
GUUGGUCGCGGGUAACGGCCCACCAAGGCGACGAUCAGUAGCCGGCCUGAGAGGGCGGACGGCCACAUUGGGACUGAGACACGGCCCAGACUCCUACGGAAGGCAGCAG